GGCCAUAGCGCCGUGGAACCACCUGAUCCCAUGCCGAACUCAGAAGUGAAACGCGGUAGCGCCGAUGGUAGUGUGGCAUUCGCCAUGCGAGAGUAGGACACUGCCAGGC
rnacentral:rRNA from 1 species